GCUAUUGUGCAAACUGCUGUGCCUGCAUUCUGCAGCUCAGGCCCCAGACCGAGACCAUGAAGGGCAGCUGCCCUUCUUCACGCACCACCGGGCAGUGAGAAACACCAGGCUUCUCAAGAAGUACAGGGCCGUGUGUCCAUUGGUGCAUGCUGGGAUCGGCACUUCAUUGGCAUCUCUCCACCGGAGCAUGAGGUGCUUCAAGUCUUCAUCUGUUUACGACGAAGAGAACCAAGCACACCUUAUGAGAGGGUGACAUGUUUCACUCUUAUAACAGAACGAAGGCACCCACACAGCUUGUUGACAUAUACAUGCAACCCAGAAGUUUCCUUCCAGGAAAAGGAAUGUAGGAAGAGAAGCAGAGGAGUCCAGGUUAUGCCAACAUCCUGCUCUAGAACGGGUCAUUAGGGAUGAUGGAAUGUAGGCGGGACUCCUACAUUUUAAAUAAAAAUAAAAUCCACAUUU